GACGAACCGAGCGAACGUUGUUCGGAAUCACUGGGCUUAAAGGGCGCGUAGGCGGGCUGUCAAGUCUGGGGUGAAAUCCCGCGGCUCAACCGUGGAACUGCCUCAGAUACUGACGGUCUCGAGGGAGGUAGGGGCGAGCGGAACUGAUGGUGGAGCGGUGAAAUGCGUUGAUAUCAUCAGGAACUCCGGUGGCGAAGGCGGCUCGCUGGACCUCUUCUGACGCUGAGGCGCGGAAAGCCAGGGGGAGCAAACGGG
rnacentral:rRNA from 1 species